rnacentral:tRNA from 1 species
GCUGUAGUUCAGUUGGUUAGAGCGUCAGAUUGUGGUUCUGAAUGUCGUGGGUUCGAGUCCCACCUG